UUUAAAAAUAGUCUUUUUAAACUAAGUACUCAUGGAUUUACUAAUAUUAUUUUAAUAAUAUUUAUAACUCUGGGAUUUAUUAGAAGCUUACUAUAUGCCAGACAUGUGCUAAUUACUCUGUGCACAUGUGAUAGGAGGUAAACUGAAAAUUUCAACAGCAGUACCAGAAUACUGUAGAUAUGAAAUCCUAAAGGAGAUCCUAGAACAAAUGGAAGAUUUUCAAAGGAACAGGGGUUACAAGGCAUCAAAAGCCACAAAGAGGAUAUAAAAUAAUAGAAAGAAUGGAUUUGUGAAAAGGAUUUCUUUGUGAAGAGCCACUGCCAAAUUCCUUCCCCUCCUCUCCUCCAAAGAGGGACUUCAGUGAGACUACUUGGAGGGUGCUGUGUGCUGGCAUUUUGAGGGCACAUUAAGAUUGAGCCUGAAAAGGAAGAGUAGGAAGGAAGAGGGAAGGAGACUAGUGAGGGAGGAGGAAGUGGGGAAGCAGGUCAGAGUGUAUUAACAUUGAGUUAGAAGUGUGUAUUGUGGCUGUAAUGUUGUGUCUGGGGUCAUUUUGAAAGGGCUCUGCCCAAGAGGAUCUUCUAGAAAAAUCAGAUUCCCUAUGCAAUGGAUCCUGGCUUGGGGAAGGGAGAAGAUUUGAAAUCAAGUCAUAUGUGAUUAUUUGCUGGAACUGGUCCUUUACAUUUCUGAGUUGAGGCUGCAUUUGAGGUGUGACUGGAGGACUUUUUAUUAUCUGAGGCCCUUAAGUUGUGAGCCAUACAGCCAGACAGGACUUCUACCAAGUGCAAAGCAAAAAUUUCUCCCACUGAAUCGAUUUUAAAGUGAAGCAUUGAAUUUUGGUCAUAAAUCCUGAGUCACUCUUGUUCUAACAUUGCUACUUAUAUAUAGUAUUUUAUUUAAUCCUCUAUGAAGUGGGUACUAUUCUUAACCUCAUUGUAAGGAUGAAGAAGCUAAGGCUUAGAAAGUUGACCUAAUCAGCAUGAGGUCACAAGGCUUGUAGGGAAUAGAAGAAGGUUUGGACCCAGAACUUCUCCUAGCCACUGUGUUAUGCUGCUAAAGAAGCAGUGAAGGACCCCACCAUUGGUCAGGUUGAUGGUGGAAAUAGCUCGUGGAUGGUAGAUUUUGAUUUUUGUAAAAAAGAAGGAUGUCACUCAAUGUAUCAAGCCCAAUUCCUAAUUUCUCAAUAUAGAACAACUUGAAAAUAUCCCCAGAAUGAAGUUGAACUUCAGCUUUGUGGUUCAUAGCAUUGUCUCUGGCAUCUUUCAGGAGUGGGGAUCUGGGUCUUCAUGGAGACAGGGCACCCAUAGGUGCUGAUCUCUUCCUCCCUUCCUGUGACCCUCUUUCCCCAACUGGUGGAGGCAGCUUCAGAGAGGACCCAGAGUCGUCAGUUCAGUUCAGUCCUGUGGGCUGUGAUUUUUCUCCAGGGCCUUCAUCUUACGUCCAAUCUGCUGAGCUUUCUAGGGCUGGGGCAGUUUUUAAGGCUGCGGAGCUAUGCUGGAGAGGUGAGGAAUUAAAUUUUCAGAGGGCCUCUCAGGUACCCCUGAAACACAGCCUCUCAAUCUCUCCUCCCUCCUGCUGUGUUACCUUUCUUGGGGAGCAUCCUGAAACCAGUUUCAUUUGUGUGUGCCACCAUCUCAGUCUAAAGGCAUUGUUAAACACCCAUUGUUAGGAUCACGACUAUUAGAUAGAUAAAAUACUCCUGUAUAUUCAAGCAUGGCCUUUACAGCAUUAUAUUAAAACAAUAAAUCAAGUAUCACAGACUCAGCGUUUGAGCCAGCUUUUAUUGCAUUAUUCCAUUCUCUCCAUGAUCCAGCUUUAAAAUCCCUCCUCCUGCAUUUAUGAUUUUGAAACAUUACAUCAGUUAUGUCCCCACAGCACUUUAAUCUAAUUCAACACUUUAAGGGGUAGGUAAGUGUUUAGGACACUGGGCCAGGCUCUGAUCAUUUUAUGAAACCGUUGUUUUAUAGAAGAACAUUACCUUUAUUACCAGAUUCUAUGGUGUGUUUGGUGGGGGACAAUCUGGUUACAAUUACAAAUAGUGUUUUUUAAGAGCUGCAGUAGAAAACUCAGUCAUUUGAAGAUGAGGUACGGCUUCCUCAAUUGGUCGUAGCAUAUUGGUACAAGAUGUCAAGAGGAAGCACAUCUAUGCCUUGGCCUGGUGCUUCCCCUUCAGAAUUUUAUGUUAACUAUUGGUGCAGGUGGUUCCAAUGGAAAAACUUGAUGUGUGCUCUGAAGUGAUGUUACUCAUCCAUUGCAUAACCAUCACCUAUAUCAAAGGAGAGCCUUUAUGUACUGGCUAAUACAGUGUGUUAAAUUCACCCCAAACGAACUGGAUGCCAUUAAACCUUUAGAGCAAUGGGACCGUUCUUACAAGAUGGAAGGUCAGACUUCUGGAAGAGCAGUUCCCUUCUGCAGUGCUGCUUCUCUGUCUCACAAGGAAGAAAUGCGUAUUUGUCUCCAUCAAUCCUCAAACACUUGCCAAAAUCCAGGAGGAGUGGACACAGCUGAGCGUCAGACUGAAGCUCUGAAAGACUCAGACAUGCAGUGCUCCAGAGGUGUUUGAAUGCUCAAUCAAGGUAUUGUGCUGGUGCUAUGGAUAUACAGAUGAACAAGAUGGGAUUUCUGCCCUCCUGUUGUUCAAAGUCUAAUGAAGAAGG